AUUGAACGCUGGCGGCAGGCCUAACACAUGCAAGUCGAGCGGAUGAAGGGAGCUUGCUCCUGGAUUCAGCGGCGGACGGGCGAGUAAUGCCUAGGAAUCUGCCUGGUAGUGGGGGAUAACGUCCGGAAACGGGCGCUAAUACCGCAUACGUCCAGAGGGAGAAAGUGGGGGAUCUUCGGACCUCACGCUAUCAGAUGAGCCUAGGUCGGAUUAGCGAGUUGGUGGGGUAAAGGCCUACCAAGGCGACGAUCCGUAACUGGUCUGAGAGGAUGAUCAGUCACACUGGAACUGAGACACGGUCCAGACUCCUACGGGAGGCAGCAGUGGGGAAUAUUGGACAAUGGGCGAAAGCCUGAUCCAGCCAUGCCGCGUGUGUGAAGAAGGUCUUCGGAUUGUAAAGCACUUUUAGUUGGGAAGAAGAGCAGUAAGUUAAUACCUUGCUGUUUUGACGUUACCAACAGAAUAAGCACCGGCUAACUUCGUG
rnacentral:rRNA from 1 species